CGGACGUAGGUAACCUGCCUGGUAGCGGGGGGUAACUAUUGGAAACGAUAGCUAAUACCGCAUAAUAGCAGUUAUUGCAUGAUAACUGUUUGAAAGGUGCAAUUGCACCACUACCAGAUGGACCUGCGUUGUAUUAGCUAGUUGGUGGGGUAACGGCUCACCAAGGCGACGAUACAUAGCCGACCUGAGAGGGUGAUCGGCCACACUGGGACUGAGACACGGCCCAG
rnacentral:rRNA from 1 species